GCAGUCGUGGCCGAGUGCUUAAGGCAAUGGACUCGAAAUCCAUUCGGGUCUCCCCGCACAGGUUCGAAUCCUGUCGACUGCG
rfam:Ixodes scapularis strain Wikel colony gcontig_1107728917234, whole genome shotgun sequence.